rnacentral:rRNA from 1 species
AUUGAACGCUGGCGGCAUGCUUUACACAUGCAAGUCGAACGGCAGCGCGGGCUUCGGCCUGGCGGCGAGUGGCGAACGGGUGAGUAAUGCAUCGGAACGUGCCCAGUAGUGGGGGAUAGCCCGGCGAAAGCCGGAUUAAUACCGCAUACGACCUGAGGGUGAAAGCGGGGGACCGUAAGGCCUCGCGCUAUUGGAGCGGCCGAUGUCGGAUUAGCUAGUUGGUGGGGUAAAGGCUUACCAAGGCGACGAUCCGUAGCUGGUCUGAGAGGACGACCAGCCACACUGGGACUGAGACACGGCCCAGACUCCUACGGGAGGCAGCAGUGGGGAAUUUUGGACAAUGGGGGCAACCCUGAUCCAGCCAUGCCGCGUGCGGGAAGAAGGCCUUCGGGUUGUAAAGCGCUUUUGUUCGGGAAGAAAACCUGUGGGCUAAUACCCCGGGGGGAUGACGGUACCGGAAGAAUAAGCACCGGCUAACUACGUG